UACGAAGGGGGCUAGCGUUGUUCGGAAUCACUGGGCGUAAAGGGUGCGUAGGCGGGUCUUUAAGUCAGGGGUGAAAUCCUGGAGCUCAACUCCAGAACUGCCUUUGAUACUGAGGAUCUUGAGUACGGGAGAGGUGAGUGGAACUGCGAGUGUAGAGGUGAAAUUCGUAGAUAUUCGCAAGAACACCAGUGGCGAAGGCGGCUCACUGGCCCGUAACUGACGCUGAGGCACGAAAGCGUGGGGAGCAAACGGG
rnacentral:rRNA from 1 species